UCCUAAAGAUCCCUGAGCCUUGGGAUUGGA
rnacentral:piRNA from 1 species